rnacentral:rRNA from 1 species
AGUGAACGCUGGCGGUAGGCCUAACACAUGCAAGUCGAACGGCAGCACAGUAAGAGCUUGCUCUUACGGGUGGCGAGUGGCGGACGGGUGAGGAAUACAUCGGAAUCUACUUUUUCGUGGGGGAUAACGUCGGGAAACUUACGCUAAUACCGCAUACGAUCUAAGGGUGAAAGCAGGGGAUCUUCGGAUCUUGCGCGAUUGAAUGAGCCGAUGUCGGAUUAGCUAGUUGGCGGGGUAAAGGCCCACCAAGGCGACGAUCCGUAGCUGGUCUGAGAGGAUGAUCAGCCACACUGGAACUGAGACACGGUCCAGACUCCUACGGGAGGCAGCAGUGGGGAAUAUUGGACAAUGGGCGCAACCCUGAUCCAGCCAUGCCGCGUGGGUGAAGAAGGCCUUCGGGUUGUAAAGCCCUUUUGUUGGGAAAGAAAAGCAGCAGGUUAAUACCCCGCUGUUCUGACGGUACCCAAAGAAUAAGCACCGGCUAACUUCGUG